rnacentral:lncRNA from 1 species
UUGGCACUCUGAUGGUCUCCCUUGUUCACCUUGACGUGUGUGGCUCCACGCUCAAAUGACGUUUACAGGUCCUACAGAAAACAACAAGUGCGUGUCCGGUUUGCUCCCAGCCCAACAGGUGAGCUUAGCAAACAUUCACUUGUGAGUCGAGAGAAGAGGAUCUUGGUUUUCCUCUCACUGAUUUGAUUCUCUGUACUCUGGUGCCGUUUCCGGGUUACCUGGAUUUCAGAGGCCUCCUCACAGCUCCGUACAACUAUUCAUUGGCUUGGGCAAACCAAGGAUAUUUUAUUCUAGCCUUAGAAGACACAGAUCAAACAGGACCCGUACUAAAUGCUGCUGGUAACCUCCAAGAGGAUCCAUUCUAGGCUGGAAUCAUCCCGCACAAAGACCCGACAAGGGGUAGACCUGUAGGCUCUUACUUCCAAUCAAAACGUCUGGAAUUAUACAAGGAACAGGUUCAAGUUCUCUCCUAAUACGUCUUGGCUCGGCGCCUUUUUUAUUUAGGCAGUAGAUUGGGGCUCUCAGGACAAGAAUCGUUGAGGCAAGCACCGAAGCACGUCAAGUUUAUACACCUAAGCAAAGAGGAUCUGAAGGAUAAAUCGAGGCGUGGAAAAUCUUAUUGCGUCAGAUUUAAGAUUAUAUCAAGGACAAAAUCACGGAGACUUGAGACGGGGAAGAGUUAUCAUUUCAUUACGUCUGUCUCUACACCAUUUCGAACUUAUGGGAUGGAUAUGCGUAUCCUUUUUUUUCAUUAAUAGAGCCGGCCAUGUUGGCAGCACUUUAUUCGUAUGUUUUUGGUGCCUUGCCCCUCCCCCGACCCGCGAUACUCGUUCGCGACACUCCCAAAAGUCUGUCCCACUCUCGUACGAUUACGUCUACAUAAAAAUAGUAAUUAUACGAUAAAGUUAACACAUACUGAUGUACCACGGUGAAUUCGGAGAGUUUAAAGUACUUAAAACCAAGUCAAAACUAUUAACAAAAGGCUAAAGAACUUGAAGACUACGUAAGCGUAAACUCUUCGGCAAGGCGCAAAUGGCCCAGGACUUUUGGAGUGGCUGUAGUUGCGAUGGAAUAUAAAGAAAAAA